rnacentral:lncRNA from 12 species
AGGGCAAAGAAUUAGGCAGAUGACGGCUAUUUAGUUUUGUUUUAAAUUAUAAUGCUUGUGAAAAUUUUGAUUUUUUAAACUAUGUGCCUACAUAGCUUGGACAAAAAUAAAGUUUAGGGACACCUAGGUGGCUCAGUGGUUGAGCGUCUUCCUUUGGCUCAGGGCAUGAUCCCAGGAUCCGGGAUCAAGUCCCACAUCAGGCUCCCCACAGGAAGCCUGCUUCUCCCUCUGCCUGUGUCUAUGCCUCUCUCUGUGUGUGUCUCUCAUCUCUCAUAAAUAAAUAAAUAAAAUCUUUUUUAAAAAAUUAAGUUUAAAAAGAUUAGAAGAAUAUAAGGAUUAGCCCAGGAAAGAUAAGACUCCUUGCAAAGAGUAGUAUGAUAAUCUUGGUUUAAGGGAGAUGGAUGGUAGUUGGGGGCAGUUUUAUAUUUGUUACUCUCUACCCACCUCAAGGAGUAGAGAGUAAUUACUACGAUGAUCCCCAGACACAUCAAGUGCUAAAUAGUUAAGUAAUAAUAGAGAGACCAGACUUGCACUUAUGUUCUUGUUUUUUCAGGUGUAAGCAUCAUCCUGAAAGGACAGUCUAUGUGUAUUACUAAUCCAGUACGCCUUCUAUUCUUCUUCUACCCAUCCCCCAAUCCUCAUCACAUAAGAGCACAGGCAGCUAGAGAAGGAAGAAGCAAUAUGCAGGAUUCUGAAGAAGCACAAGCCUAAAGGGGCCAGAUUAUACCUACAGGUUUCAUGCAUGCCACUAAGACAGGUCAUCAACCAGAAAAUAUAGAUAGCAACCCUCAGAGCAACAACAAAGGCAACAACAACAAAGAGUAGAGGGAAGACUAUGCAUCCAAGAGCCCUGGACAACAGGACUGGAGAACCUAUGGCUUCUGGAGUUGAUCUCUGCCUCAAAAAAAAAAAAAUGAAAAUUUGUAACUUAUAAAAGAAAGAAGAAACAAUUAUAAUUAUUUUUGAUGUGUUCUCUAAAUAUGGAGGAAUAUUAUUCAGCCUUUAAAAAGGAUAUCCUGCCAUUUGCAACAAAUGGAGAAACCUAGAGAAUAUUUUGCCAAUGAAAUAUGUUAGUCACAGAAGGAGAAAUUACUGCAGAAUUCCACUUAUAAGAGGUACCUAAAACUGUCAAAAGUCCUAGAAGCAAAGAAUAGAUUGGUGGUUGCUAGGGACUGGGGAAGUUAGAGGUGGAACAUUCAUUGUUUAAUGAGUAUUAAGGUUUCAGUUAUUCAAGAAUAAAUUCUAAAGAAUUAUUGUAGUAUGACA